CAAGUGUUUUACCAUGUUUAUUGACAAAGGACAACUUUUCUUCGGUUGGAGUUUUGGUUUUGGUAGAUUUCAUAUUUACAAUCCAAGAAAAAGCCCACUCCAGGCAAAGUAUUUAUUUCUCGAGACCAACAGGCAAAAGCCAAAAAAAAAAAAAAAAAAAACUAACAACAGCUAGGAAGUCAAAAAAAUGGGGAAGAAGCAAAAACGCAACAGUGACAGUGACGAAGACGAAAUAUUUUACCACCGCUACUCCUCCGCCACCACAUCAUCGCAACACCCACCUUCCUCCACCAAACCCCACGGCGGAUCCGGCGGUUUAGCACCAUCAAAAUCAACCCUGUACGUAUCCAAUUUGGACUUCUCCCUUACAAACUCAGACCUCCACACACUCUUCUCCACCUUCGGCAAAGUAGCACGUGUAACUGUCUUAAAAGACCGAACAACACGGAAAUCGCGCGGUGUUGCAUUCAUCCAAUUCGUAUCUCGCAGCGAUGCGGUCACCGCCGUUGAACAGAUGGACAAGAAGAUUCUCAAUGGGAGAACUCUGUCGGCGUCGAUUGCGGCAGAUAAUGGUAGAGCGGCGGAGUUUAUUAAGAAGAGGGUUUAUAAGGAUAAGAGUAAGUGUUAUGAGUGUGGAGAAGAUGGACAUUUGAGUUAUGAGUGUCCGAGGAAUCGAUUGGGGAUUAGAGAGAGGCCUGUGGUGAAGAGAGGGAGGGGAGGCGGUGGUGGAGGAGGCGGCAGCGGCGGAAGGAGCGGGGGAGAUUGGGAGGAGGAGGAAGAAGAGGGUGAGUUUGAGGAGGAGAAGUGGGCUGCGGCGGUGGAUGGAGGGGUGGAGGAGAGGUUGUUGAAGGGGGGAGAGGUGGAGAAAAAGAAGGUGAAGGUUAAGAAAGCUAGUUACUUCAGUGAUGAGAGUGAUGAAGAGGAGUGAUUUCUGGGAUUCUUUUUGGAGUUACCGUGUUUUGGUGAGGGAGGGAAGGAGGUUAUAGCAUGUUAUUACUGAUACUGGAGACUAUCUUCUUAGAGUUUUAAAAGAACACUGGCUAGUGUUAGUGAAAAACAGAGGAUUCAAUUUGAUCAUCUGUGAUUGAUAUGGCAUUUGUUGCGUCUUAGGUUUUUUUGUUAUGACUUGUGGAUGACAGUUAUGUUCUGUUUUUUUGAUGGAGGAGCAUCUUUAUGCUGGUUACUGUUACUGAAACUAGUUUUGAGAUUGAUGUUCUUGGAUUGUGAGGGAAAUGCUGGUGAAUCAGCUGUGACAUUUGCUCAUCUGAUAUUCCAUGGAUAGAUGUUCAUUUUGAUAACAUUAGUUUCCAAGACAUUUAGCAAGAGGGGAGAAAAAGUUUCCCCCUGUUUUUGUGACUGAAUUGAUGGUUUCUGCUCUUUGCUUAGAGCUUUCUACCAACUUUUUUGUCUGGCAAGAGGUUGGGGGUGGUUCGUUCUUGCUGCAAAGUUAGAAGAGCUGAAGCCCAGAGAGGAAACCAAGAAAUAUGUACUUGUCACGUUAAACAUGAGAAUUGACUGUGAGAUAGAAGUAAAUUUGUUUUUUUACUCUUUUAUUUUUGUCAAGAAAUAUGUAUUUGUAACACAUGGAGUGCGAAGAUCAGUAUAAAGACUUCCUAGAUUUUUUCACCAGUGCCCACGACCUUUUGUUGCUUGUACAGAGCUUGAAAAUAUUUUAUAGCAAUUGCAGCUACUUACAUGGUUCAGGAAAAUAUUCCUUUAGAAGUGAAGUAAAUAUGUAUCGUUUGUUGAGUCAUUAGCAUUUGCAUUUAGAGGAACAAACUUUGAAUCUUCGUCAUUUAACUCACUGGGAAUUCCUGCGAGGGACAAGCGAAGAACUUUCAUUCAAACGUUACUAUGAAGAUGUAAACCUAAACUGUGUUGGGUUUGUAUGAUAUGCACAAGAUGCCUUCGCAUAUUCGAGAUAUCAAUAAUCUUCUAUGAAGUUUUAAAGAGCUGGGAAGGUAUCUUGGGCUGGCCUUUGAAAUCAUUUUUCUGGGCCCUAAUAUGUGCUGUGUUCCUGGUGAGUGGGAGAUUAUUAUUCUACCAGGCUUUGUUGAGUUCGGCCUCUCUCAAAUAAACCCAAUUUACUUUUGAAAUAUCUACCGCAGAACUUGGCUGUCGUCAGCAUUGCACCCGUUUGUUGUGCAACCUGUCUAGAGGAUUUGUAAUCUGGGCUACACAUAUACAGGGAGAAUUCAAAUGCUCUGAACCGUACAAACAUGCACACAGUAUUUGUAACUGCUUUUGAGCAUGCGAAUCAUGCUGUUGUGUGAAAAUUGUGAAGUUAGUUUGUCUUGUUCCUUUGGAGUUUAGAAGAGAGUCUAUAAAUAUCCGGUGGUUGGUUCGAGACAAAGCCUGUGGUAAAGGCAAAGCCAGUUGAAGCCUCAAAGUCAAGAGUGUCAGAGGCGAUCAUUUUUCAGAUCAAUAGUCGUUAGCAUUCCGAGAGGAGCCACCUUGGCUGCAGCCAGAAUUGUGAAGAGUGUAUAUCUUGUCGAAGCUCAAAGGGAGAGUCUUGUGUUGAAUUUCUCCAUCGGAGGGGAGAAUUGCAAAUUUACUUCCAGUUGGAGUCUUGUCGAUGAUCACACAUAUAGUUGAAUUCUGUAUGUCUGAUUUAUCAGCAAUAUUGAUACAGACAUGAUAUAUGAGAAUAUACUGUGAAAUAUGUAUCUGUAAUGCAUUGAAUAGAAAGAUCAGUAUAAACUUUUAGAUUUCA